rnacentral:rRNA from 1 species
CUACGGGCCGCACCAGUGGGGAAUAUUGCACAAUGGAGGAAACUCUGAUGCAGCAACGCCGCGUGGAGGAUGACACUUUUCGGAGCGUAAACUCCUUUUAUAUAGGAAGAAGAUGACGGUACUAUAUGAAUAAGCGCCGGCUAACUCCGUGCCAGCAGCCGCGGUAAUACGGAGGGCGCAAGCGUUACUCGGAAUCACUGGGCGUAAAGAGCGUGUAGGCGGAUUAAAAAGUCAGAAGUGAAAUCCUAUAGCUUAACUAUAGAACUGCUUCUGAAACUCUUAAUCUAGAAUAUGGGAGAGGUAGAUGGAAAUUCUGGUGUAGGGGUAAAAUCCGUAGAGAUCAGAAGGAAUACCGAUUGCGAAGACGAUCUACUAGAACAUUAUUGACGCUGAGACGCGAAAGCGUGGGGAGCAAACAGGGUUAGAUACCCCCGUAGUC